GUACAAUGGAAAAGGCUCCUCAAGGGUGGUCUGGCUCAUCCCCUUAAGACAGGGGGUGAGUUAAUGACAGCAUUUGAAGCGUUAAUGCUGAUGCUAACUUUUGGCAUCUUAAUCGUUGCUAUGUUGUCGCAUGAGAGAAAGAUGUAGACCUCCCUUGAGCCUAGCCAAGCAGCGGGAGGUCUAUUCUUAUUUAGACAUAUGGGCCGGCCCCUUUAGAGACACCGUUGUACCUGACUGUGGGUGUUACCGCACCUACA
rnacentral:sRNA from 1 species